GGUUCCAUGGUGUAAUGGUUAGCACUCUAGAAUUUGAAUCUACUGUUCUGAGUUCAACUCUCAGUGGGACCU